rnacentral:rRNA from 1 species
GACGAACGCUGGCGGCGUGCUUAACACAUGCAAGUCGAACGGAAAGGCCCUGCUUUUGUGGGGUGCUCGAGUGGCGAACGGGUGAGUAACACGUGAGUAACCUGCCCUUGACUUUGGGAUAACUUCAGGAAACUGGGGCUAAUACCGGAUAGGAGCUCCUGCUGCAUGGUGGGGGUUGGAAAGUUUCGGCGGUUGGGGAUGGACUCGCGGCUUAUCAGCUUGUUGGUGGGGUAGUGGCUUACCAAGGCUUUGACGGGUAGCCGGCCUGAGAGGGUGACCGGCCACAUUGGGACUGAGAUACGGCCCAGACUCCUACGGGAGGCAGCAGUGGGGAAUAUUGCACAAUGGGCGAAAGCCUGAUGCAGCAACGCCGCGUGCGGGAUGACGGCCUUCGGGUUGUAAACCGCUUUCGCCUGUGACGAAGCGUGAGUGACGGUAAUGGGUAAAGAAGCACCGGCUAACUACGUGCCAGCAGCCGCGGUGAUACGUAGGGUGCGAGCGUUGUCCGGAUUUAUUGGGCGUAAAGGGCUCGUAGGUGGUUGAUCGCGUCGGAAGUGUAAUCUUGGGGCUUAACCCUGAGCGUGCUUUCGAUACGGGUUGACUUGAGGAAGGUAGGGGAGAAUGGAAUUCCUGGUGGAGCGGUGGAAUGCGCAGAUAUCAGGAGGAACACCAGUGGCGAAGGCGGUUCUCUGGGCCUUUCCUGACGCUGAGGAGCGAAAGCGUGGGGAGCGAACAGGCUUAGAUACCCUGGUAGUCCACGCUGUAAACGGUGGGUACUAGGUGUGGGGUCCAUUCCACGGGUUCCGUGCCGUAGCUAACGCUUUAAGUACCCCGCCUGGGGAGUACGGCCGCAAGGCUAAAACUCAAAGGAAUUGACGGGGCCCCGCACAAGCGGCGGAGCAUGCGGAUUAAUUCGAUGCAACGCGUAGAACCUUACCUGGGUUUGACAUGGAUCGGGAGUGCUCAGAGAUGGGUGUGCCUCUUUUGGGGUCGGUUCACAGGUGGUGCAUGGCUGUCGUCAGCUCGUGUCGUGAGAUGUUGGGUUAAGUCCCGCAACGAGCGCAACCCUUGUUCACUGUUGCCAGCACGUUAUGGUGGGGACUCAGUGGAGACCGCCGGGGUCAACUCGGAGGAAGGUGGGGAUGACGUCAAGUCAUCAUGCCCCUUAUGUCCAGGGCUUCACGCAUGCUACAAUGGCUGGUACAGAGAGUGGCGAGCCUGUGAGGGUGAGCGAAUCUCGGAAAGCCGGUCUCAGUUCGGAUUGGGGUCUGCAACUCGACCUCAUGAAGUCGGAGUCGCUAGUAAUCGCAGAUCAGCAACGCUGCGGUGAAUACGUUCCCGGG